GCGCUUGUAGCUCAGCGGAAGAGCAGUGGCCUUCUAAGCCAUUGGUCGCAGGUUCGAAUCCUGCCAGGCGCG
rnacentral:tRNA from 1 species